GUCCCUGUAACACAAUGGAUAGCACUUUGGACUUCUGAUCCAAACGUCGUGGGUUCGAAUUCCACCUGGGAUG
rnacentral:tRNA from 1 species